GACCGGCGCACGGGUGAGUAACGCGUAUCCAACCUUCCCUUUACUGGGGUUCAGCCCGUCGAAAGGCGGAUUAAUCCCCCAUGUUCUCCGUCCCGGACAUCUGUGUCGGAGCAAAGAUUUAUCGGUAAAGGAUGGGGAUGCGUCCGAUUAGCUUGUUGGCGGGGUAACGGCCCACCAAGGCAUCGAUCGGUAGGGGUUCUGAGAGGAAGGUCCCCCACACUGGAACUGAGACACGGUCCAGACUCCUACGGGAGGCAGCAGUGAGGAAUAUUGGUCAAUGGCCGCAAGGCUGAACCAGCCAAGUAGCGUGAGGGAAGACUGCCCUAUGGGUUGUAAACCUCUUUUAUGCGGGGAUAAAGGCGUCCACGUGUGGAUGUUUGCAGGUACCGCAUGAAUAAGGACCGGCUAAUUCCGUGCCAGCAGCCGCGGUAAUACGGAAGGUCCGGGCGUUAUCCGGAUUUAUUGGGUUUAAAGGGAGCGUAGGCCGGUCUUUAAGCGUGCCGUGAAAUUUUGUGGCUCAACCAUGAGAGUGCGGCGCGAACUGGAGACUUUGAGUGCGCGGAAGGCAGGCGGAAUUCGUGGUGUAGCGGUGAAAUGCUUAGAUAUCACGAAGAACCCCGAUUGCGAAGGCAGCCUGCCGCAGCGUUACUGACGCUGAAGCUCGAAAGCGCGGGUAU
rnacentral:rRNA from 1 species